rnacentral:tRNA from 1 species
GUUCUCGUAGCUCAGUGGAUAGAGCGAUCGCCUCCUAAGCGGUAGGUCGUGGGUUCAAUUCCCACCGUGAACACCA